rnacentral:tRNA from 1 species
GCGGGAGUGGCGGAAUAGGAAGACGCGGCGGACUUAGGAUCCGCUCCCUCCCAAAGAGGGUUGUGGGUUCAAGUCCCACCUCCCGCA